rnacentral:rRNA from 1 species
UACGAAGGGUGCAAGCGUUACUCGGAAUUACUGGGUGUAAAGCGUGCGUAGGCGGUUUGUUAAGUCCGCUGUGAAAGCCCUGGGCUCAACCUGGGAAUUGCAGUGGAUACUGGCAAGCUAGAGUGCGGUAGAGGGUAGUGGAAUUCCCGGUGUAGCAGUGAAAUGCGUAGAGAUCGGGAGGAACAUCCGUGGCGAAGGCGACUACCUGGACCAGCACUGACACUGAGGCACGAAAGCGUGGGGAGCAAACAGG